CGGGGCGUAGCGCAGCCUGGCAGCGCACCUGAAUGGGGUUCAGGUGGUCGGAGGUUCAAAUCCUCUCGCCCCGACCA
rnacentral:tRNA from 1 species